GUGGGGAAUAUUGGACAAUGGGCGAAAGCCUGAUCCAGCCAUGCCGCGUGUGUGAAGAAGGUCUUCGGAUUGUAAAGCACUUUAAGUUGGGAGGAAGGGCAGUAAGUUAAUACCUUGCUGUUUUGACGUUACCGACAGAAUAAGCACCGGCUAACUUCGUGCCAGCAGCCGCGGUAAUACGAAGGGUGCAAGCGUUAAUCGGAAUUACUGGGCGUAAAGCGCUCGUAGGUGGUUUUGUAAGUUGGAGGUGAAAUCCCCGGGCUCAACCUUGGAACUGCCUCCAAAACUGCAUGACUAGAGUACGGUAGAGGGUAGUGGAAUUUCCUGUGUAGCGGUGAAAUGCGUAGAUAUAGGAAGGAACACCAGUGGCGAAGGCGACUACCUGGACUGAUACUGACACUGAGGUGCGAAAGCGUGGGGAGCAAACAGGAUUAGAAACCCGGGUAGUCC
rnacentral:rRNA from 1 species